rnacentral:lncRNA from 10 species
ACUCUUUGGGUCCACACUGCCUUUAUGAGCUGUAACACUCACUGCGAAGGUCUGCAGCUUCACUCCUAAAGCCAGCGAAACCACAAACCCACCGAGAGGAAUGAACAACUCCAGAUGCACUGCCUUAGGAGCCGUAACACUCACUGCAAAUGUCUGCAGCUUCACUCCUGAAGCCAGCAAGACCACACACCCACCAGAAGGAAGAAACUCCAAACACAUCCGAACAUCAGAAGGAACAAACUCCAAACACACCGCCUUUAAGAACUGUAACACUCACCGUGAGGGUCCACGGCUUCAUUCUUGAAGUCAGUGAGACCAAGAGCCCACCAAUUCCGGACACGUGGUGAGAUGGCAGGGAAUCCUGGGAGCUUCCCAAAGAGGUCUCUUCCAUCCCAGCAGCCCACAACGCUGUCCCUAGUGGGUUGUAAGGGCCCAGGCUUUGGAGCAGGGUGCCUGAGUCUCUCGCAGAAGGCCCUCACAAGCGAAAAGGAAACCACAGGCCCUGGGCCACAUGGACUCAGAGUGAUGUCAAGGCAGGCAGAAGGAAGAAGCAGCAAGACCGCAGGGAAUGCCAGG